rnacentral:piRNA from 1 species
AAGGACUGCACAGAAGCCCUCAAGC